CAAGUUUGAUCAUGGCUCAGGAUGAACGCUAGCGACAGGCCUAACACAUGCAAGUCGAGGGGCAGCGGAGAGGUAGCAAUACCUUUGCCGGCGACCGGCGCACGGGUGAGUAACACGUAUGCAAUCCACCUGUAACAGGGGGAUAACCCGGAGAAAUCCGGACUAAUACCCCAUAAUAUGGGCGCUCCGCAUGGAGAGCCCAUCAAAGAGAGCAAUUUUGGUUACAGACGAGCAUGCGCUCCA
rnacentral:rRNA from 1 species